rnacentral:rRNA from 1 species
UACGUAGGGUGCAAGCGUUGUCCGGAAUUAUUGGGCGUAAAGAGCUCGUAGGCGGCUUGUCGCGUCGGCUGUGAAAACCUGGGGCUCAACCCCGGGCCUGCAGCCGAUACGGGCAAGCUAGAAUUCGGUAGGGGAGACUGGAAUUCCUGGUGUAGCGGUGAAAUGACGCAGAUAUCAGGAGGAACACCGGUGGCGAAGGCGGCAUCCUGGACCGACACUGACGCUGAGGAGCGAAAGCCAGGGGAGCAAACGGG